GGCAUCAAGGAACACAAAGAGGCAUGGGAUGUUUUGUUUGAAUAUUUCUAAAAGAUCAAAGGAGCAUCUUGUGUUAUCUGAAACUUGACGAAUGGCACAAAUCCCGAAUGUUCUGAGGGAUUUACGCGAGGAGACAUUUAUUAAGAUCUUAACACAUUAUUUUGUAUCUGCGUUGAACAGCUACAUAGGCCUGCGGUUGGCACAAGUGGUGGACGGUGUUCCUGUUUUUGGUAAAGUAAUGAUGUGCUAAGCUAACAUUUCUGCAUGGAUAUUG